AGGGCCCAGUGGUAGGAUGUGAUGAUUGAUAACAUAAACAGUUUCAGCCAUGGGUUUCAGAUAAUCAGAUUCAAGCGUUUUAGGUCGGACGUGUGAUUAAUUAAUUGUUGGUAAAUAUGACAAAUAAUAUACUGGUCAAUUUGCUACUGACUAGCUUGUAGUUGAUAGUCAUCAAGGUCCAGUUUGAUAUCCUGAUAAUAAUAAUCUAGCAGUUCUGAAGAAAGUAUUAUAAAAAGGUUUAGAACAUUUCAGAUGGUGGAGUCAUACAGAACCAAUAAUUAAGUAAUAAUCUGGAGCAUUGAUGAUUACUAAACAUUUAUUAUUAUAAACAGCCAUUAUUGAUCUUUAUCCAGGUACAGAUUUUAGCGCUUUCUGGAUUUGUUAUGGAACUCAAUAAUUGACUACAUUUUAAGAUAAAAGCUGAUGAGUGAUGAACUUGCUGCACAUUAAGCGCAUAACCAGACAGCCGCCGAUUUUGCAUUUAGUUCAUUACACGCAGUCAGUUUCUGAUUGGUUUUCCAAAUUCUUAUCCACCGUCUACUAUGCCGUGUGGCACAGUUAAUUGAUUAUGAUGAUAUUAAAGUUGAAAAAAUGUUGGUUCAGAAUUUGGAUCAGGAGCAAUUAUACCAGUAUCAUCUGAAAAAGUGUGAAGAGGUGUGGUGCCGUUGAGUGGGAUAUCUAAAGUAUAAAUGCUAUACAUGCAAGGAUAUUUUUAGAAACUCCAUCAUUAAUAGGAUGGUAUUUUAAGAAGAUUUCUAAUCAGUAACUGGAUUGUAAAAUAUACUGGAUGAUUGGAAUUGGAUGCAUCAACAGUAACUAAUAUAAUAUAGUAAAGUUCUAGAAAUUAAUGAAACUGAAUUUAAUUUUAAAACAAACCAAAAUUUCUCAAGAGUAAAAUAAUUAUGUAUUUCAAUUUUACUUUUUGAAUAAAGAAUAAAAGUAAAUGAA